UACAGAGGGGGCAAGCGUUGUUCGGAAUUACUGGGCGUAAAGGGCGCGUAGGCGGCCUGUUAAGUCGAACGUGAAAUCCCUGGGCUUAACCCAGGAACUGCGUCCGAUACUGGCAGGCUUGAAUCCGGGAGAGGGAUGCGGAAUUCCAGGUGUAGCGGUGAAAUGCGUAGAUAUCGGGAGGAACACCAGUGGCGAAGGCGGCUUCCUGGACCUGUUCUGACACUGAGGAGCGAAAGCGUGGGGAGCGAUCCGG
rnacentral:rRNA from 1 species